rnacentral:rRNA from 1 species
UACGUAGAGUGCAAGCGUUGUCCGGAAUUAUUGGGCGUAAAGGGUACGUAGGCGGAUAGUAAAGUUCAAGCGUGAAAGGUGUCGGCUUAACCGACAGACUGCGUUUGAAACUGAUUAUCUUGAGUGUAACAGAGGAGAGUGGAAUUCCUAGUGUAGUGGUGAAAUACGUAGGAUAUUUAGGAAGAACACCAGUGGCGAAGGCGACUCUCUGGGGUUAACACUGACGCUGAGGUACGAAAGCUGGGGGGAGCGAACGGGAUUAGAUACCCCCUGUAGU